rnacentral:pre_miRNA from 7 species
CUUUGGGGUUCUUGGGUGUCACGCAGAUCUCGGUGGGACCUUCAAAAUGUUAAAUCUAGUGGGGAAACCCCCACCCAAUUCCCGAUUCGGGGUGCACCCAAAAAAUCACGAAGGACC